GCGGCGCCCGGACUGAGGCUUUUUGAGGCCCGGUAGGCGGCAGUCCUGUCCGGCAGGGUCGGAGUCGGUCUGGGGUUCGGGAUUCUAAUCGUUUAAUGAUAAUAAUCGUUAGCCUCGGCCAACUGGUCCCUGUCGAUCAAGAUUGCCAUCUAACGUAGUCCACUUCCCAUUCGUCAACCUGUCCAAGCUCCUUUCUAAUACCGUAACAUCAGACGCAAUCUGCACUGUGUAGGAGAGUGGUCCAGUUCAGUCCCUAAUCUUUCCAAGUAACCACUUUUGUAGAUCCUCGCCAGGACUACUUGUCCAAGAGUGACACAUAAAACCUCCUUGUGUGAGAAACCCUCAAGUGAUGUUCCUUGUCUUCCUACCUGCUGUCAUCGAGGUAACACUGAAUGCCUGGGCAGCCUUACAGCACCUGGUCCGUAGAUUUCUGCCAAAGUGCAGGUGCAGAUGCUACUCCAAAAAUAAGCCUAUUACUGUAUACGAUAAAGCCCUUCGUGGUGAAAAGCAUUUUGGACUCUUCUUCCAUCUCCAUCUGUAGCUAGGCCUCAGCAAAGUCCACUUUGAUGAGGUGAUUCCCUCCAGAAAGGUUUGCAAAUAUAUAGUCAAUCCUGGGCAGAGGUAUUAAUCUAUCUUCAGUUGAUGACGACCCUAAAAUCACCAUAGAUCCUGACUUGGCUACUGGAACCACUGGCAAUGCCUAUGGGCACUACUCAAUCUUGGAAAGAAUUCCUUCAGCUUCUAUGCAAUCAACCUCACUGGCUACUUUAUAUGGAUGGUAUAAGGAAUCGGAUGGGCUUUGUAAAACUUGGAUGUGACAUUUUCACUUAACACUUUUUUACCCUUGAUAGUUUUGAGUUUUCCAAUGCCAUCCUUCAAACACUGCUGUGGCAUCAUCCAGUACCUUUCUUAAUUCGCUUUCAGUUGACUUUACUGGAGGAGAUGUAGCAAGCAAAUCGUGGCUGGGUCUCCAAUCAAGUUGUAGUUGUCUUCAUCCAAUCAAGGCCCCAGUGCGGGCCUGCCUGUUUUUACCACAUACAAGCCCAAAGUGGCUUCUUGGUUGUUGUAUUUCACGGUUAGGAAUGUCAUUCCCACAGGAGUUAUCUUUUCUCGAGUGUAAGUUCUUAGUUGGAUAUCUGCAGGCUUCACUUCAUAGAACAUAGAACAGUACAACACAGGAACAGGCCAUUUAGCCCACAGUGUUGUGCCAAACCAGCUAAAAAGCAGAUCAAAAACACCCAAACACUAAUCCCUUCUACCUACGCCAUGUCCAUAGCCCUCCAUUUUCCUUAUGUCCAUGUGCUUACCCAAGCAUCUCUUCUUAAAAGCCUCUAGUGUGUUUUCCUCUACCACCAUACAAGGCAGCACAUUCCAGGCAUCCACCACUCUCUGAGUAAAAAAUGUACCUCUCACAUCCCCCUUGAACCUACCUUCUCUCACCUUCAAUGCAUGCCUUCUGGCAUUACUCAUUUCAACCCUGAGAAGCAGAUACUCUCUACCUUUCUGAAGCCCAGCAACAACUGUCAAACACUUCCUCUUACUUACCCCUCAAACAGGAUCCCACUAAGGAGCACCAGGCCAUUGUUUCCCACACCAUCUCCGUACUUAUUGACUCUGGGGAUCUCCCAUCCACUGUCACCAAUCUCAUAGUUCCCUCAUCCCACACCUCCCGUUUCUACCUCCUACCCAAGAUCCACAAACCUGCCUGUCCAGGUAGACCCAUUGUUUCUACUUGUUCCUGCCCCACUGAACUCAUAUCUGCAUAACCUCCACUCGGUUUUAUCCUCCCUGGUUCAGUCUCUUCCUACCUACAUCCAUGACACUUCACAUGUUCUUCAUCUUUUCAAUAACUUCCAGUUCCCUGGCCCCGAUCAUCUUAUUUUCACUAUGGAUGUCCAGUCCCUUUACACCUCCAUCCCUCACCAGGAAGGCCUGAAAGCUUUCUGUUUCUUUCUUAACACCAGACCCAACCAGUUCCCCUCCACCACCACUCUCCUCCGUCUACUGGAACUUGUCCUCACUCUCAAUAAUUUCUCCUUUGGCUGCUCUCACUUUCUUCAAACAAAAGAUGUAGCUACGGGUACUCGCAUGGUUCCCAGCUACGCCUGCCUUUUUGUCAGCUACAUGGGACGGUCUAUGUUCCAAGCCUACACUGGUGACCGUCUUCCAUUUUUCCUACGCUACAUCGAUGACUGCAUUGGUGCUGCUUCCUGCACCCUUGCAGAGCUCAUCGACUUCAUCAAUAUUGCCUCCAGCUUCCACCCCGCCCUCAAAUUUACUUGGUCCAUUACUGACACCUCCCUCCUCUUUCUCAAGCUCUCUGUCUCUAUCUCCAGAGACAGCUUAUCUACUGAUGUCUAUUAUAAACCCAUGGACUCUCACAGCUACCUGGGCUAUACAUCUUCCCACCCUGUUACUUGAAAAAAUGCCAUCCCCUUCUCUCAAUUCCUCCGUCUCCAAUACAUCUGCUCUCAGGAUGCGGCUUUUCAUUCCAGAAAGAAAGGAGAUGUACUUCUUUAAGAAAGGGGCUUCCCUUCGUCCACCAUCAACACUGCCCUCAGCCGUAUCUCUUCCAUUUCGUGCACGUCUGCAUUCACCACAUCCUCCCGUCACACCAUCAGAGAUAGGGUUCCUCUUAUCAUCACAUACCACCACACUAUCCUCCGUGUCCAGCAUAUAAUUCUCCUUAACUUCUGCCAUCUCCCACGGGAUCCCACUACCAAGCACGUCUUUCCCUCCCCUGAAUUUCUGCUUUCCACAGGGAUCGUUCCCUAUGUGACUCCCUUGGCCAUUCGUCCCUCCCCACUGAUCUCCCUCCCGGCCCUUAUCCUUGCAAGUGGAACAAGUGCUACACCUGCCCCUACACCUCCUCCCUCACUACCAUUCAGGGCCCCAAACAACCCUUCCAGGUGAGGUGACGCUUCACCUGUGAAUCUGUUGGGGUCAUCUAUUGUAUCCGAUGCUCCCAGUGUAGCCUCCUGUAUAUUGGUGAGACCCGACGUAGAUUGGGAGACUGUUUCACCGAGCGCCUAUGUUCCAUCCGCCAGAAAAAGCAGGAUCUCCCAGUGGCUACCUAUUUUAAUUCCACUUCCCAUUCCGACAUGUCAGUCCAUGGCCUCCUCUACUGUCACGAUGAGGCCACAUUCAGGUUGGAGGAGCAACACAUUAUAGUCCAUCUGGGUAGCCUCCAACCUGAUGGCACGAACAUCAAUUUCUCGAACUUCUGGUAAUGCCUCCACCCACGUUCACCAUUCUUCAUAACCAUUUCGUUCUCUCACCUUAUCUCCUUACCUGCCAAUCGCCUCCCUCUGGUGCUCCACCUCCUUUUCUUUCUUCCAUGGCCUUCUGUCCUCUCCUAGGUCCCCCUUCUCCAGCCCUGUAUCUCUUUCACCAAUCAACUAUCCAGCUCUUUAUUUCACCCCUCCCCCUCCCAGUUUCACCUAUCUCCUUGUGUUUCUUCCACCCCACCUUCUUACUCUGACUCCUCAUCAUUUUUUUUCUCCAGUCCUGAUGAAGGGUCUCGGCCAAAAUAUUGACUCUACUCAUUUCCAUGGAUGCUGCCUGGCCUGCUGAGCUCCCCCAGCAUUUUGUGAGUGUUGGUUGAAUUUACAGCAGACUUUCUCUUGUCUGCAGUUGGACUCUCUGUCCACUAUAUCUGUGCCUCAAAUAAUCUUGUUCAAAGGUCAAAGUAAAUUUAUUAUCAGAGUACAUACAUUUCAACACAUACAACACUGAGAUUCUUUUUUCUGUGAGUGUACUUAGCAAAUCUAUAGAGUAGUAAUUGUAAACAGGAUCUGUAAACUGUAAACAAACUGUGCAAAUGCAGAUAAUAAAUAAAUAGCAGUAA